rnacentral:rRNA from 1 species
UAUUAUUCUUAAAUAAAUUUAUUCCUAGGUUAGUAGUAGAUACUUACUUAAAAGCUAAAAGAUUUGGCGGUAAUUUAAUCUUUUCAGAGGAACUUGUUUUUUAAUCGAUAAACCCCGAAAUAUCUUACUUAAUUUAGUAGAGUUUGUAUACCAUCAUUAUCAGGUAAUUUUUAAAAAAAUAAUUUCUAAAUCUAAAUGUUUAUAAAAAUUAGAUCAAGGUGCAGCUAAUAAAUAAGUUAAAAUGAGUUACAAUAAAAUUUUUUAUACGGAUAGUUAAAGAAUAUAGGCUAUGAAGGAGGAUUUGGUAGUAUUUAGAAUUUAAUAUGUUCUAAAGAUGAGAGCUCUAAAUUAUGUACAUAU